GCAGAAACAGAUCGUAUUUUUUUAUUUUUUUGAAGUGCUAUGAUUUUUUUAACUCUCAUCUUUUGGCAUUAAAUCCCUCAGUAGAAAGUGUAUAUAUAUACUAGAGAAGUGCUAUAUGAAUACAGAAAGUAUAGCUAACUAAUGAUCUACAGUAGUUCGUCUUUCAAAUAUCCAGGGCCUGGCUUGAAGGGGUCAGAGUCCAUGUAUGCUUCUGAGCGAUAAACACCAGCAUCAUUCAUACGAUUACUAAGCACGUGAAGGAUAGCUUUCUUUGCACCAUACUCAUCUCGGUUGUUCUCGACAUACUGUUUGGCCUCUGCUGCAAUCUCAUUGACAAAAUCAAACCGGUUGUCCUCGUUCAGUAAUAAUCUAUGAAUGUCCAUCGUCAAUAGUUUACCCCCAUCCCUUAUCUUCCUCACUUGCUCCUCAAGGAAUGGAAUCCUUUCCAUUUUGGCAUCUAAUGUCUCAUCUUUCUUCGUCAAUUUUCUUCGCCUCCAUAUUCGCCUUUCUCCACGGCCUUCAUUUUUAGAAUUCGACGCACUCUGCGCCCGAAUACACAAGUUCACGCGUUUUUUAUUUUCAAGUGCUGCAAUUCUGGGGAAAGUUUGUAGUGUUGAAAAGCUACUGAAAGUCAGGGUUGAUGCUGCCAUUGUUUUUCGCCCUUCGAUUGUGUUCUUCUCCCUCUGAUAAAAGGGG
rnacentral:misc_RNA from 1 species